UAAGGAAUAUUGGUCAAUGGACGCAAGUCUGAACCAGCCAUGCCGCGUGGAGGAUGAAGGUCCUCUGGAUUGUAAACUUCUUUUAUCUGGGACGAAACACUUCUUUUCUAAGAGGCCUGACGGUACCAGAUGAAUAAGCACCGGCUAACUCCGUGCCAGCAGCCGCGGUAAUACGGAGGGUGCAAGCGUUAUCCGGAUUCACUGGGUUUAAAGGGUGCGUAGGUGGGUAUGUAAGUCAGUGGUGAAAUCCCCGAGCUUAACUUGGGAACUGCCAUUGAUACUAUAUAUCUUGAAUACCGUAGAGGUCAGCGGAAUAUGCCAUGUGGCGGUGAAAUGCUUAGAUAUGACAUGGAACACCAAUUGCGAAGGCAGCUUACUAUGCGGUGAUUGACACUGAGGCACGAAAGCGUGGGUAGCAAACA
rnacentral:rRNA from 1 species